ensembl:lincRNA
GUUAGGAGAUCAAGACCAUCCUGGCUAACACGGUGAAACCCCGUCUCUACUAAAAAAUACAAAAAAAACCAGCUGGGCGAGGUGGCGGGCGCCUGUAGUCCCAGCUACUCGGGAGGCUGAGGUGGGAGAAUGGUGUGAACCCGGGAGGCGGAGCUUGCAGUGAGCUGAGAUUAGGCCACUGCACUCCAGCCUGGGCGACAGAGCGAGACUCCGUCUCAAAAAAAAAAAAAAAAAAAAGAAUGGCAGUUGGAGCCUGAAUGCCUCUGAACUUCUGUUUCUGUCUAGUGUAUCAGCAGAUUCAAUGGACUGAGAACAGGAGACCUGAGGUCUGUCCCAGACACCCAUGUCCAAAGGCGCAGGACAAGGAGGCAGAGGCCCAGUUGAGGAAUCCUAGUUCCUGGUAACAGAGAUGACAGCUAGAGCCAGAGAAAGGAAGGCAAGUUGCUGUUUGGCAUGUGCCCUUCUCAUGGUGAAUGGCAGGAGUGGAAACAGAGUGCUGCUUCAGGCUUUACCUUGGAACUGGCAUGCUAUUGCUUCUCACAUCCCAUUGGCCCAAACUGGUCACAUGGCCAAGCCUAGUGCUGCUGGGUGGGGAAGUAUAUUCCACCCACUCUCCUGCCCCAACGUCACAAGGUAAGUCACAUAAAGAGCUGAAGAACAAUCUACUGCAGCUUCCCUGAAACAAAACCCAGAACCUCUUCUGUUCCUCCAGUGAGAAUCUCUAGAAGAGUGGCUGCUGGUCCCUGAGUGCCACUAGUCCUGAUAGCCCUUUCCUCCUGGGGUUUAUGGCAGAAAGUGACAAUUGUCCCCAUUGCCCAUUGCCCCUUUCUUCUUUUUAGUAAUAGAACACCCCAGGUUUUAGUUGGGCAUGUGGUGCCCACUAGGGGCCACAUUUCCCAGACUCCUUUGCAGCUAGAUGUGAUCAUGUGACUAAGCUGUGGCCAAUGGGAUGAUGCACAAAUGCCACAGGCACCUCCUGAUGACAAUUUGUAUGAGGAAGCUGCAUGUCUUCCUCUCCUCUGUCCUCCUUGCCUUGGGCUGGAAUGUGGGCUCACACGGAUGGUGAGGUAGCCUCAGCCAUGAAGACAAGGACAACGCUCUAGGAUGACAGAGUAAGACAGCAGAAGGAAUCUGGGUGUCCACACAAGCUCUUGGUGUUUGCUCUGGUUGCCUGCCUAACUCUGG